rnacentral:rRNA from 1 species
AGUGAACGCUGGCGGUAGGCCUAACACAUGCAAGUCGAACGGCAGCACAGUAAGAGCUUGCUCUUACGGGUGGCGAGUGGAGGACGGGUGAGGAAUACAUAGGAAUCUACUUUUUCGUGGGGGAUAACGUAGGAAAACUUACGCUAAUACUGCAUACGACCUACGGGUGAAAGCAGGGGAUCUUCGGACUUUGCGCGAUUGAAUGAGCCGAUGUCGGAUUAGCGAGUUGGCGGGGUAAAGGCCCACCAAGGGGACGCUCCGUAGCGGGUCUGAGAUGAGGGUCAGCGCCACUGGAACUGGGACACGGUGCAGACUCGUACGGGAGGCAGCAGUGCGGAAUCUUCGAGAGUGAGCGGAAGCCUGAUCCGGGCAUACCGCGUGGGUGUAAAGGGCCUUCGGGUCGUAAAGGCCGUUGGUUUUGAAAGAAUAGCAGCAGGUUAUAACCGCGCUGUUCUGACGGUACCCUAUGAAUAAGCGCCGGCUAACUUCGUG